rnacentral:rRNA from 1 species
GGGGCAGUUAAUUAAUAAAAAUUUUAAUAAAGAUUAAGUACUAAAUAGANNNCCCAACANUAGUUGAUUACANUGAACAAGUUACUGUAGGGAUAACAGCGUAAUAUAUAUCUAAAGUUCUUAUUUUGAUAUAAGUUUGCGACCUCGAUGUUGAAUUNAUAUUACUUUCAAGCGCAAGAGCCUGAAAAGUGGGUCUGUUCGACCCCUAAAUAUAUACAUGAUUUGAGUUCAAAUCGGUGUAAACCAGAUUGGUUUCUAUCUAUUNUUAUUUGUGUCUUAGUACGAAAGGACCUGAAACAAUAUUAUAUAAUNAUUUAUAUGGCAGAAAAAUGCUUUAGAUUUAGGAUCUAAUUAUAAUAGAUUAUUAUACUCUAUUUAACUUGCCUAAUCUCUGUUA